UACGUAGGGUGCGAGCGUUGUCCGGAAUUAUUGGGCGUAAAGAGCUUGUAGGCGGUUUGUCGCGUCUGCUGUGAAAAUCCGGGGCUCAACCCCGGACUUGCAGUGGGUACGGGCAGACUAGAGUGUGGUAGGGGAGACUGGAAUUCCUGGUGUAGCGGUGAAAUGCGCAGAUAUCAGGAGGAACACCGGUGGCGAAGGCGGAUCUCUGGGCCAGUACUGACACUGAGGAGCGAAAGCGUGGGUAGCAAACAGG
rnacentral:rRNA from 1 species